UUAACUGAAACCAAAACAGAGGUAUAUUAUUGUUAAUAAUAUAAAUGAAUCAAAGAAUUCCAGUUAAA
rnacentral:tRNA from 2 species